AGUGAACGCUGGCGGUAGGCCUAACACAUGCAAGUCGAACGGCAGCACAGUAAGAGCUUGCUCUUACGGGUGGCGAGUGGCGGACGGGUGAGGAAUACAUCGGAAUCUACUUUUUCGUGGGGGAUAACGUAGGGAAACUUACGCUAAUACCGCAUACGACCUACGGGUGAAAGCAGGGGAUCUUCGGACCUUGCGCGAUUGAAUGAGCCGAUGUCGGAUUAGCUAGUUGGCGGGGUAAAGGCCCACCAAGGCGACGAUCCGUAGCUGGUCUGAGAGGAUGAUCGGCCACCCGGAACGUGGACCCGGUCCAGACUCCUACGGGAGGCAGCAGUGGGGAAUAUUGGACAAUGGGCGCAAGCCUGAUCCAGCCAUACCGCGUGGGUGAAGAAGGCCUUCGGGUUGUAAAGCCCUUUUGUUGGGAAAGAAAAGCAGCAGGUUAAUACCCCGCUGUUCUGACGGUACCCAAAGAAUAAGCACCGGCUAACCUCGUG
rnacentral:rRNA from 1 species